rnacentral:rRNA from 1 species
GUGCCAGCCGCCGCGGUAAGACGAAGGCCCCAAGCGUUAUCCGGAAUUAUUGGGCGUAAAGGGUGCGUAGGGGGUCUGAUAAGUCUGGUGUUAAAUCUUUCCGCUCAACGGAAAGGCUGCAUUGGAUACUGUCAGACUCGAGGAUAUAAGAGGUGAGCGGAACGCACGGUGUAGGGGUGAAAUCCGUUGAUAUCGUGCGGAACACCAAAAGCGAAAGCAGCUCACUGGUAUACUCCUGACCCUGAGGCACGAAAGCGUGGGUAGCAAAAAGGAUUAGAAACCCCAGUAGUCC